AUACGGAGGGGGCUAGCGUUGUUCGGAAUUACUGGGCGUAAAGCGUACGCAGGCGGAUAUUUAAGUUAGAGGUGAAAUCCCAGGGCUCAACCCUGGAACUGCCUUUAAAACUGGGUAUCUAGAGUUAUGGAGAGGUAAGUGGAAUUCCUAGUGUAGAGGUGAAAUUCGUAGAUAUUAGGAGGAACACCAGAGGCGAAGGCGGCUUACUGGACAUAUACUGACGCUGAGGUACGAAAGUGUGGGGAGCGAACGGGAUUAGAUACCCUAGUAGUCC
rnacentral:rRNA from 1 species